GCGCCCCCGGCUGGACACGGUACGCAACAACCCGGUUCUUGUUCAACGUGUGAACAAGAACGCACUUUGUGGUGCGCUGCGACCACAAAGAACGGAGGAAUCGUCUGAUUCGGCAUGGCACUCAGAAUAUGUUCGCGGUUCAAUGUAUUAAACCAUUGCUCGAUGCGCUUCAUAUCCGAGCGUGCGUGUCUCCUUGGGGGUCUGAGAGUGGAACACGACCGAGAGAAGCUGUGCUUCACCGUCUGCCUCGGAGCCGAGGCGGGUCAAGGGAGUAUACAGUCUGCAGUCCUCCGAUACAAAUUCAUGAAUGAGAAGCAAGUGGAUCUAAUGUCAACCCACGUCCCGGAGUCCUUAAGGGGCAAAGGUAUCGCAGCUCUCCUGUCGAAGGCUGCCUUGGACUUUUUGGCUGAAGAUGACCUGAAGGCGCACAUUUCUUGCUGGUACAUCAAGAAAUAUAUCGAGGACAACCCAAAGAAUGGUUACGAAGAGCGCGUCGUUAAUUAGCUGCAAUUAACUUCAUUAACAUUUCCUGAAGGUUGAACUAUUAUUGCUAAAUAUUUGUUCUAUAUCAGGUCUAAUUAAUUGCAAAAUUAGGAUGAUUUUAAAGAGCAACAUACGGGUGAUUUUUUUUUUUUUCACAUUGUGUGCUCAUUUUGUUUGCCCAAAAACAUAGCAAACAAAUUAUUAAGUGUAAUCUGUAUGCAGCGGGGAUUCGGGGGUCGGUAUGACUCCCAAGUGGUAAAGGUUCAACACUCAGUUUAUUCAGAGAUAAAAAGUAAAUGGACAUGCACUCUGAAUUUCUACCUCAUGAACCACCUCCAGUCUAUAGAGUGGCGAAGUCACGCCCUUUCCGGUAAAGCCCAUGGGACCUAUGAGAUCGAACAAUAUGAAUGGGUUUUUGAAAAGGUAUAUUUAAAUCCACAAACAACCUAUGUGUAAUCCAGGGUAUGACUGGGACCAGGAUAUAAUUAUUUUCUCUCCAUUGAAACCCAUUCAUAUUUUUCGAUCUCAUAGGUCCCAUGCCUCUACCGGAAAGGGUGUGAUUUCGCCACUCAAUGGCCUACUGACUGAAUGGUAAAAGAAGCCACGCCUAUAGGGUCUGAAUGAUCUUAACAGUAAAACUUGAUAUGGUGAUAUUGUCUUAAUCACUGUGUAGAAGCAGAAAGCAGUGAGAACGUACAAUGGGUGCCAACCUGCCAGUUGCGUCAAAACUGUAUUUAUUUAUUUAAUUUGUGAGUAAUUGAAACUUGGCAGCAUUUGUAGGCUAUAUUCAAUUAAACCGCAUGUUUCUCUUUCGCUAUUUAAAUAUUUGUAAUCAAUAAAUUAUUUUUAAUUAACCA